AUUCUCCUUGGACCAGUGGCUACCUGGGACAUGUUCUUCUCAUGAAGGGUCACCGGAGUCCAGGAGAGUAAACUGAAACAUAAGAUGCCUCUUGAGAUCUCAGCCUGCAACUGGCACACUUGUCAUUUUGGCCCACAUCUCAUUGACCAAACCAAGUUACAAGGCAAAUGCAUCAUAGGUUGGGGUGAGGGGAGAUGUCCUCUGCCUCCUCUAGUAGGAGACACUGAAAAAUUAUAUGUUACUAAGUCAUGUCCGACUCUUUGCAACUCCAUGGACUGUAGCACACCAGGCUCCUUUGUUUUCCACUAUCUCCCAGAGUUUGCUCAAAUUAAUGUCCUCUGAGUCAGUGAUGCUCACUGGCAAUACUAUCUGUACAUAUCUGGUAUUUAUUUGAGAGAGAAGGGAGCAAGAUAGUGCAGUAGUAUGAGUUUGCAGCCAAUACAAGCUACCACCUUCCUCUGGCCCCAGGUUGCCUUCCUCAGCUUUCACCCUUACUGGGUAUAGCAGCUCAAAGGUGCCUUUGCCAACACACACUGAAUCGUGAAAGACAAGAAGACCCAGCAGCAGGAUUUUUGCUGAGUGUGUGG
ensembl:lncRNA